rnacentral:rRNA from 1 species
CCUACGGGUGGCAGCAGUGAGGAAUAUUGGUCAAUGGACGAGAGUCUGACCCAGCCAAGUAGCGUGAAGGAUGACUGCCCUAUGGGUUGUAAACUUCGUUUAUAAAGGAAUAAAACGAGGCACGUGUGCAUUUUUGCAUGUACGUUAUGAAUACGGAUCGGCUAACUCCGUGCCAGCAGCAGCGCUACUACGGAGGAUCCGUGCGUUGUGCGGAUUUAUUGGGUUUAAAGGGAGCGUAGAUGGGUUGUUAAGUCAGUUGUGAAAGGUUGCGGCUCAACCGUAAAAUUGCAAUUGAUACUGGCAGACUUGAGUACAGAUGAGGUAAGCGGAAUUCGAGGUGUAGCGGUGAAAUGCUUAGAUAUCACGAAGAACCCCGAUUGCGAAGGCAGCUUACUAAACUGUGACUGACAUUGAUGUGCGAAAGUGUGGGUAUCAAACAGGAUUAGAUACUCGUGUAGUC